rnacentral:snoRNA from 1 species
UGCCUAUGAUGAUACCUUUUAAGGCUUGUUUCUCAAAACAUUCGCAGUGGCCGCCUAAGUGCUUUCGCCUACGCCAUGCUUGAGAGUGCAUGCUGCUUUUAUCCUUCCUUGGAUGUCUGAGGCU